rnacentral:rRNA from 1 species
UACGUAGGGUCCGAGCGUUGUCCGGAGUUACUGGGCGUAAAGCGCGCGCAGGCGGCCCGCCAAGACCGGCGUGAAAGCCCCCGGCUCAACCGGGGAGGGUCGUCGGUGACUGGCGGGCUCGAGGACGGCAGGGGUCGGUGGAAUGCCCGGUGUAGUGGUGAAAUGCGUAGAGAUCGGGCGGAACACCCGUGGCGAAGGCGGCCGACUGGGCCGGUCCUGACGCUGAGGCGCGAAGGCGUGGGGAGCGAACGGGAUUAGAAACCCCCGUAGUCC